GUUUGAUUGAUCGAUUCUUCCAAUCUCACCUUUCUUUAUCAGCCUUCAAAUUCUAUGAGAAUAUAUUAAAGGGUUCAAGAAAUAUAUGAAAAUCUCAUAAAAUCAACAAAAAAGAGUGUCAAAUUUGAACUCGGGAAAAGAAAUUGAAACUAUCAAAACAACAAAUAGGUAGCUGAUGGAAGGGAGGAUAAGAGUUGAACUAAACAUGAAAAACAUGGCUGCCAUUUGCAAAAAAUGAGUGUGAGUGGAGGUUGUGACCUGUGGGAUGUGGCUGUGAGCACGAGAAGUGAGAUUGGAAGGGUUGUUACAACUCGAUGGAAGUAUAGGCCAUGAGCAAUGGCUGCGAU
rnacentral:misc_RNA from 1 species